rnacentral:rRNA from 1 species
CCACGGGUCGCACCAGUGGGGAAUCUUGGACAAUGGGCGCAAGCCUGAUCCAGCCAUGCCGCGUGAGUGAAGAAGGUCUUCGGAUUGUAAAGCUCUUUUACCAGGGACGAUAAUGACGGUACCUGGAGAAUAAGCCCCGGCAAACUUCGUGCCAGCAGCCGCGGUAAUACGAAGGGGGCUAGCGUUGUUCGGAAUUACUGGGCGUAAAGCGCACGUAGGCGGGUCGUUAAGUCAGGGGGGAAAUCCCGGAGCUCAACUCCGGAACUGCCUUUGAUACUGGCGAUCUUGAGAUCGGAAGAGGUGAGUGGAAUUCCCAGUGUAGAGGUGAAAUUCGUAGAUAUUGGGAAGAACACCAGUGGCGAAGGCGGCUCACUGGUCCGACACUGACGCUGAGGUGCGAAAGCGUGGGGAGCAAACAGGAUUAGAUACCCGUGUAGUC